rnacentral:rRNA from 1 species
CACGUAGUUAGCCGUGGCUUUCUGGUCAGAUACCGUCAAGGCUGGAGCAGUUACUCUCCAACUUGUUCUUCUCUGACAACAGAGUUUUACGAUCCGAAAACCUUCUUCACUCACGCGGCGUUGCUCCGUCAGACUUUCGUCCAUUGCGGAAGAUUCCCUACUGCUGCCUCCCGUAGGAGUUUGGGCCGUGUCUCAGUCCCAAUGUGGCCGAUCACCCUCUCAGGUCGGCUACGUAUCAUCGUCUUGGUGAGCCGUUACCUCACCAACUAACUAAUACGCCGCGGGUCCAUCCAUAAGCGACAGCACAAAGGCCGUCUUUCCUUUCUCAAUCAUGCGAUCAAGAAAACUAUGCGGUAUUAGCACCCGUUUCCGGAUGUUAUCCCCCUCUUAUGGGCAGGUUACCCACGUGUUACUCACCCGUUCGCCACUAUCUUCUCAGUGGAAGCAAGCUUCCAUAGAAAAGCCGUUCGACUUGCAUGUAUUAGGCACGCCGCCAGCGUUCGU